CCUACGGGAGGCAGCAGUGAGGAAUAUUGGUCAAUGGACGAGAGUCUGAACCAGCCAAGUAGCGUGAAGGAUGACUGCCCUAUGGGUUGUAAACUUCUUUUAUAAAGGAAUAAAACGAGGCACGUGUGCCUUUUUGCAUGUACUUUAUGAAUAAGGAUCGGCUAACUCCGUGCCAGCAGCCGCGGUAAUACGGAGGAUCCGAGCGUUAUCCGUAUUUAUUGGGUUUAAAGGGAGCGUAGAUGGGUUGUUAAGUCAGUUGUGAAAGUUUGCGGCUCAACCGUAAAAUUGCAAUUGAUACUGGCAGUCGUGAGUACAGUUGAGGUAAGCGGAAUUCGUGGUGUAGCGGUGAAAUGCUUAGAUAUCACGAAGAACCCCGAUUGCGAAGGCAGCUUACUAAACUGUGACUGACAUUGAUGCUCGAAAGUGUGGGUAUCAAACAGGAUUAGAUACCCUAGUAGUC
rnacentral:rRNA from 1 species